AGCGUGCGAUUGGAUUGCACGUCUAAGCAGUAAGGCUGAGUAUUAGGCAAAUCCGGUACUCGUUAAGGCUGAGCUGUGAUGGGGAGAAGACAUUGAGUCUUCGAGUCGUUGAUUUCACACUGCCGAGAAAAGCCUCUAGAUAGAAAAUAGGUGCCCGUACCGCAAACCGACACAGGUAGUCAAGAUGAGAAUUCUAAGGUGAGCGAGCGAACUCUCGUUAAGGAACUCGGCAAAAUGACCCCGUAACUUCGGGAGAAGGGGUGCUCUUUAGGGUUAACGCCCAGAAGAGCCGCAGUGAAUAGGCCCAAGCGACUGUUUAUCAAAAACACAGGUCUCUGCUAAACCGUAAGGUGAUGUAUAGGGGCUGACGCCUGCCCGGUGCUGGAAGGUUAAGAGGAGUGGUUAGCUUCUGCGAAGCUACGAAUCGAAGCCCCAGUAAACGGCGGCCGUAACUAUAACGGUCCUAAGGUAGCGAAAUUCCUUGUCGGGUAAGUUCCGACCCGCACGAAAGGCGUAACGAUUUGGGCACUGUCUCAACGAGAGACUCGGUGAAAUCAUAGUACCUGUGAAGAUGCAGGUUACCCGCGACAGGACGGAAAGACCCCGUGGAGCUUUACUGUAGCCUGAUAUUGAAAUUCGGCACAGCUUGUACAGGAUAGGUAGGAGCCUUUGAAACGUGAGCGCUAGCUUACGUGGAGGCGCUGGUGGGAUACUACCCUAGCUGUGUUGGCUUUCUAACCCGCACCACUUAUCGUGGUGGGAGACAGUGUCAAGCGGGCAGUUUGACUGGGGCGGUCGCCUCCUAAAAGGUAACGGAGGCGCUCAAAGGUUCCCUCAGAAUGGUUGGAAAUCAUUCAUAGAGUGUAAAGGCAUAAGGGAGCUUGACUGCGAGACCUACAAGUCGAGCAGGGUCGAAAGACGGACUUAGUGAUCCGGUGGUUCCGCAUGGAAGGGCCAUCGCUCAACGGAUAAAAGCUACCCCGGGGAUAACAGGCUUAUCUCCCCCAAGAGUUCACAUCGACGGGGAGGUUUGGCACCUCGAUGUCGGCUCAUCGCAUCCUGGGGCUGUAGUCGGUCCCAAGGGUUGGGCUGUUCGCCCAUUAAAGCGGUACGCGAGCUGGGUUCAGAACGUCGUGAGACAGUUCGGUCCCUAUCCGUCGUGGGCGUAGGAAAUUUGAGAGGAGCUGUCCUUAGUACGAGAGGACCGGGAUGGACAUACCUCUGGUGUACCAGUUGUCGUGCCAACGGCAUAGCUGGGUAGCUAUGUGUGGACGGGAUAAGUGCUGAAAGCAUCUAAGCAUGAAGCCCCCCUCAAGAUGAGAUUUCCCAACUUCGGUUAUAAGAUCCCUCAAAGAUGAUGAGGUUAAUAGGUUCGAGGUGGAAGCAUGGUGACAUGUGGAGCUGACGAAUACUAAUCGAUCGAAGACUUAAUCAA
rnacentral:rRNA from 3 species